UGCCGGAGAUGUUUUCAGUCCAAAGGGA
rnacentral:sRNA from 1 species